rnacentral:rRNA from 1 species
UACGAAGGGGGCUAGCGUUGCUCGGAAUCACUGGGCGUAAAGCGCACGUAGGCGGAUCUUUAAGUCAGGGGUGAAAUCCUGGAGCUCAACUCCAGAACUGCCUUUGAUACAGCACGUCUCGAGUCCGGAAGAGGUGGGUGGAAUUCCUAGUGUAGAGGUGAAAUUCGUAGAUAUUAGGAAGAACACCGGUGGCGAAGGCGGCCCACUGGUCCGGUACUGACGCUGAGGUGCGAAAGCGUGGGGAGCAAACAGG